GGGUGGUUAGCUCAGCUGGCAGAGCAACGGACUCUUAAUCCGUGGGUCCAGGGUU
rfam:Lactobacillus apodemi DSM 16634 = JCM 16172 strain DSM 16634 NODE_32, whole genome shotgun sequence.